UCAACUGUGCUCAGUUGGGAGAGCGUACGACUGAAGAUCGUAAGGUCACCAGUUCGAUCCUGGUUCGGGGCA